GACUGGCAGCAGCUGUCCUGGCAGCAGCAGGGCUUGCAGCAGCUGGACUUACAACAGCUGGACUGGCAGCAGCAGGGCUUGCAGCAGCUGGACUUGCAGCAGCUGUCCUGGCAGCAGCAGGGCUUGCAGCUGCUGGACUUGCAGCAGCAGGGCUUGCAGCAGCUGGACUGGCAGCAGCUGUCCUGGCAGCAGCAGGGCUUGCAGCAGCUGGGCUUACAACAGCUGGACUGGCAGCAGCAGGGCUUG
rnacentral:sRNA from 1 species